rnacentral:rRNA from 1 species
AUGCAUGAUGUGGUCUGUGUUCUUGCUCUAUCAAAAUCGAAAGAGGAGAUGUUUUCUGUUGUUGAUGACUACUCAAAAAUAACCUCUUUACUUGGCAAAGCACGAAGGAUGUCAAUUCAAAGUGUUGAUUCUGCGCUUUCAAGACAUGAGAUGACACAUGUGCGCUCGCUACUUGUACUGGACAAAUGUGUCCCUAUAGAUGCUCUAAGUGCUUCACUCACAUCACUCAAGUUGUUGUCAGUUUUGGACCUACAUGGCAUUCCAAUAAAAAUUAUACCUGUUCAAGUGUUCAACCUGUUUAAUCUGUGA